rnacentral:rRNA from 1 species
AGUGAACGCUGGCGGUAGGCCUAACACAUGCAAGUCGAACGGCAGCACAGUAAGAGCUUGCUCUUACGGGUGGCGAGUGGCGGACGGGUGAGGAAUACAUCGGAAUCUACUUUUUCGUGGGGGAUAACGUAGGGAAACUUACGCUAAUACCGCAUACGACCUACGGGUGAAAGCAGGGGAUCUUCGGACCUUGCGCGAUUGAAUGAGCCGAUGUCGGAUUAGCUAGUUGGCGGGGUAAAGGCCCACCAAGGCGACGAUCCGUAGCUGGUCUGAGAGGAUGAUCAGCCACACUGGAACUGAGACACGGUCCAGACUCCUACGGGAGGCAGCAGUGGGGAAUAUUGGACAAUGGGCGCAAGCCUGAUCCAGCCAUACCGCGUGGGUGAAGAAGGCCUUCGGGUUGUAAAGCCCUUUUGUUGGGAAAGAAAAGCAACGGGUUAAUACCCCGCUGUUCUGACGGUACCCAAGGAAUAAGCACCGGCUAACUUCGUG